GUGCACCAGGCGAGAAACCUCCGCAAUGCUCGAAAGAGCGACGGGGGGACUCCAAGUGCCUACGCUCAGCGUAGGCUGUUCCCGAGCCUAAAAAGCUCGGGGAGUAAGGGCUGGGUAAGACGGGUGCCAGCCGCCGCGGUAAUACCCGCAGCCCGAGUGGUGGCCGCUAUUAUUGGGCCUAAAGCGUCCGUAGCCGGCUCGGUAAAUGCCUGGGUAAAUCGUCUGGCCCAACCAGACGAAUUCCGGGUAGAUUGCCGGGCUAGGGACCGGAGGAGGGAGAGGGUACUCCAGGGGUAGGGGUGAAAUCAGCAAGGUGAGUUGCUGAUGUAACUUGCCUUGCAAGUCACAAUCCUGUAAUCCCUGGAGGACCACCGGUGGCGAAGGCGCUCUCCUAGGACGGUCGACGGUGAGGGACGAAAGCCAGGGGAGCAAAACCGGAUUAGAUACCCCUGUAGU
rnacentral:rRNA from 1 species